rnacentral:rRNA from 1 species
GCAGUCGAACGCGUUGGCCCAAUUGAUUGAUGGUGCUUGCACCUGAUUGAUUUUGGUCGCCAACGAGUGGCGGACGGGUGAGUAACACGUAGGUAACCUGCCCAGAAGCGGGGGACAACAUUUGGAAACAGAUGCUAAUACCGCAUAACAGCGUUGUUCGCAUGAACAACGCUUAAAAGAUGGCUUCUCGCUAUCACUUCUGGAUGGACCUGCGGUGCAUUAGCUUGUUGGUGGGGUAACGGCCUACCAAGGCGAUGAUGCAUAGCCGAGUUGAGAGACUGAUCGGCCACAAUGGGACUGAGACACGGCCCAUACUCCUACGGGAGGCAGCAGUAGGGAAUCUUCCACAAUGGGCGCAAGCCUGAUGGAGCAACACCGCGUGAGUGAAGAAGGGUUUCGGCUCGUAAAGCUCUGUUGUUAAAGAAGAACACGUAUGAGAGUAACUGUUCAUACGUUGACGGUAUUUAACCAGAAAGUCACGGCUAACUACGUGCCAGCAGCCGCGGUAAUACGUAGGUGGCAAGCGUUAUCCGGAUUUAUUGGGCGUAAAGAGAGUGCAGGCGGUUUUCUAAGUCUGAUGUGAAAGCCUUCGGCUUAACCGGAGAAGUGCAUCGGAAACUGGAUAACUUGAGUGCAGAAGAGGGUAGUGGAACUCCAUGUGUAGCGGUGGAAUGCGUAGAUAUAUGGAAGAACACCAGUGGCGAAGGCGGCUACCUGGUCUGCAACUGACGCUGAGACUCGAAAGCAUGGGUAGCGAACAGGAUUAGAUACCCUGGUAGUCCAUGCCGUAAACGAUGAGUGCUAGGUGUUGGAGGGUUUCCGCCCUUCAGUGCC